CGUUUUUAGAAGUUUUAUGCAAUUUAAUUCACAUUUUGGCCCGUUUUGACUGUUUUUUUUAACUUUUACAUUUAAUUAUCAAUUUAACUCAAUUGGUUUAUUAAAUUAUGUAAAAUCAACCAUUUUCUAAGUCGAAAUUAUCAAAUUAAAUGAUAAUGCAAAAAAAAGAAAAUGUUGAGAGAACAUGACAAAAUCAGUGAACCAUAUAUUUACCAAAGUACUCAACAAACUCGAACAAACAAAAUCAUCGAUCAAAGCCUACAUACAUACAAAGAUUGAGAGAGAGAAAACAGAAGCUUUCAUCAAACUCUACCAAAACCAAUCUCUGUUUCCUCUUUCUCUUGAUUGAUCGGUGGAUCUAAUUUUCCGGCGACUAAGAACGGACGUUGAAGGAGAAGAAGGAUGCCAGAGACUGAGCUAAUCCCAACACAAUUGCUACCUUCACUUGACCUCUCUUCGGAAUCGGACGAAAAUUAGAUGAUCGAAAGUUACUUCUGUUCUUCAUCUCGUCUGAUCUCAUUACUCCGGCCAUUUGAAUCGUUGGCUACAACCAAUUGUCGGCAGCGUCCGGUGGCUGUUUGUAGGCUGUAGCAGAGCUAGAGAGUGGAGUUAUGGCUACUCAAUUCUGAUUGAUGUGCAAUAUAUAAACUGUUGUUAAAUAUAUGCCCCUGUUUUUCAGAAGAAUUACAAAACGAGUUCGGACUAUUUUUGACGGGUAUAUUGACUAUUUUGACCUUGAUGGAUGGACUUUUUUCCCACAAGUUUUUUCCUUGUGGACAAGUUAU
rnacentral:lncRNA from 1 species